CUGACCUCAGGUGAUCCACCCGCCUCGGCCUCCCAAAGUGCUGGGAUUACAGAUGUGAGCCACUGCGCCCAGCUGCCAUUCAAUGGACUAUUGUCCAUUUAUAAAAAGAAUGAAGAUCUCCAUGAGCAGAGCAGAUAUAAAUCUAAAAGACAUUAGGUCUUAUAAGGAGGAGAGAGACGGCAUCAGCCCACAGAAAGCAAGAGAGUGAACAGGGUGGGGAAACCACCUAUUCAGGUGGCAGCACAUGAAGAUGGCCGCAGCCCAGGUGGAUGAGAGUCCAUGGGGUAUAUACUAAAUCUAAUCAUGAGGAAACAAUAGAAAAAGAAACAUUCUAAAACAUUUCAAAAAAUGAUUGAACGGUUAUUUUCAAAAGCGUCAAGCCGGGAAAGCCAAGGAAAGAUUGAGGUUCUAUUCAGGAAGACUUCUUCCAAGUUGCUGGAGGAGAUGGCCACUAGUAGCCUUGAUUUUAUAUCAUCCCAGCACAAAGACACCAAAUGCAAGAGACAGCAUUUUCCACCAGCUCUAGCUGGAAAAUCCUUAGAGGAGGACUGUAGUUAUCAGCUCAACCAGGACAACUUGAUCGGAGAAGAGUGGUUAUCCAGAAAGGGAUGCUGAGCAGAUAAUCAACGUUCUCUGAAGUGGGUAUAAUGACUAUCUACAUGCAUAUGGGAAAGGGAGGCACAGAGAAAUGAAGUAACUUUUCCAAGAUCACACGGUUGGUUGGUGGGAGAGGUAAACCAAAAACCCAGGCCUCCUCACUCAGACCUCUGCUCUUGCCUGAAUAACCAUGUUAUUUCGCCACUUCAAAAUAAAAGUGAGACCUACCAGUUUUCAUAAACACUG